rnacentral:rRNA from 1 species
AUGUUCUUUUUGCUUCAAGAACACUACUCUAGUUCUUUUGCUGAGAUUUUUUGCUUCAAUCAUAUGAAUUUUUACUGGAUCCAUCUUAUUUUGCUGGAACCACUCCAAGUUUUGCUACAACGGUGUUCGAUUUUUGCUACCACCGUCUUUGCUUUUGCUACUCCCCUAUUUCUGAUUUUUUGCUGGAUCGAUCUUUUCUGCUGGAAGCUCUCAAAGAGAGAGAAAAAGGAGGUUGUGGAUGCCAUGGAGGGAGCUGCAAAGAUUACAAAAAAUGCUACAACCAGCCUCCUAGGGGAGCUUCAAUCGAAGGUGAUGAAUUUUGGGGACCGGCCACCACGCAACCGCGAAAGCUGGAACCGUUGA